rnacentral:ncRNA from 2 species
UAUAUAAAAAUAAAAGCACCCCAUAUAUUCCUGGAAAUACGGUCUGGGAGUCUCUACAGAGUAACCGAAAAUUACUCUACUAUGGACGGUUAAUAAUAGAAU